rnacentral:rRNA from 1 species
CAAUAGCGUAUAUUAAAGUUGUUGCAGUUAAAAAGCUCGUAGUUGGAUUUCUGGUGGGAGCGAUCGGUCUGGCGCUUAGCGCGAGUACUUGCAUCGUCUCCGGCCAUCCUUGGGGAGAGUCUGUCUGGCAUUAAGUUGUCGGGCAGAGGAUCCUCAUCGUUUACUGUGAAAAAAUUAGAGUGUUCAAAGCAGGCUUAUGCCGUUGAAUAUAUUAGCAUGGAAUAAUAGGAUAGGACUUUGGUACUAUUUUGUUGGUUUGCGCACCAAAGUAAUGAUUAAUAGGGACAGUUGGGGGUAUUCGUAUUCCGUUGUCAGAGGUGAAAUUCUUGGAUUUACGGAAGACGAACUACUGCGAAAGCAUUUACCAAGGAUGUUUUCAUUAA